AACGAACGCUGGCGGCAUGCCUAACACAUGCAAGUCGAACGGGACCUUCGGGUCUAGUUGAGCACGUGUGCGUGACGCGGGGGAACCUACCCUUAGGUUCGGAAUCACUCACCUAAGGGGGUGCUAAUAACAGUUAAUGUAUUCGGACCAAAGAUUUAUUGCCUUUGGAUGGGGGCGGGUUGGAUUAGGUAGUUGGUAGGGUAAAAGCCUAGCAAGGCGACGAUGCAUAGCUGGUCUGAGAGGAGGACCAGUCAGACUUGGACUGAGACACGGCCUACAAUCCUACGCAAGGCAGCAGUGGGGAAUACUGGACAAUGGGGCCAAGCCUGAUCCAGCAAUGCCGGGUGAGUGAUGAAGGCGUUAGGGUUGUAAAGUCCCUUUACCCGGGAUGAUAAUGACAGUACCGGGAGAAUAAGCUCCGGCUAACUACGUG
rnacentral:rRNA from 1 species